rnacentral:rRNA from 1 species
GAGUUUGAUCGUGGCUCAGAAUCAACGCUGGCGGCGUGCCUAACACAUGCAAGUCGAACGCGAAAGUCCCGCAAGGGGCAAGUAGAGUGGCAAACGGGUGAGUAACGCGUGGGUGACCUGCCUUCGAGCGGGGGAUAACGUCCCGAAAGGGACGCUAAUACCGCAUAACAUCCUGCCUUUGAAGAGGUGGAGAUCAAAGCUGGGGAUUCGCAAGAACCCGGCACUUGAAGAGGGGCCCGCGUCUGAUUAGCUAGUUGGUGAGGUAACGGCUCACCAAGGCUUCGAUCAGUAGCCGGCCUGAGAGGGCGGACGGCCACACUGGGACUGAGACACGGCCCAGACUCCUACGGGAGGCAGCAGUGGGGAAUUGUUCGCAAUGGGCGCAAGCCUGACGACGCAACGCCGCGUGGAGGAUGAAGACUUUCGGGUCGGUAAACUACCUGUCGAACGGGACGAAAGUACGUGCGGGUUAAGUACUACCGCAGUCGUGACGGUACCGUU